UCUGAGUAGCAAAAAAGAGAAAAAAUCCCUAACUGAUACUGUAGGAAAACCACCAGAAAUUGAUCCCUCUUACUUCUAUCAAAACCUAACUGCUUAUGGAAAUCAACCCAUCCACCCCCUGUUCAAUCCCUUUCAAAAUAAAACCUUAACAACCUUCCUACCAAAUCAAAAUCACCACCUUCUGAAAAAAAAACCUCAAUCCCAUAAACCAGGGCAUUGGAAGAGAGAUGCUAGAGAAAUCAGUAAGUCUGUUCCCCAGAAUUUAGAGGAAGUUCAAGGACAAAUCAACGAGGAACCACAAUCCCUCAGAGAAAGAGAAAGGAGUCAAUUGAAGAGCAGAACCCUAAAAAUUAAAUCUCAGAAGAAAGUGAGUGAAGAGGAGAAAACAAAAUCUUAAGAUGAAGUAAAAGCAAAAGCUAGGCCUGAAACUGCAGAAGCAGAUACAACACAAACUGAAAUUGAGGUAUUAAAUAAAGCUUGGAUGAAUUGAGAAGCCAAAAGGAACAGAGAAGUAGGGACAACAGAAGAGAGACAACAAAGACUCGCGCUAGAAGGCAGUGAAAAAUGUUGUUUGCACCUCAUCCGUAAGUGAAGAAUGUUGUUUGCAAGAUCUAACACUAGACGUGGGCUUGACAUAUUAAAUUUGAAGAAAACACGGGACUAGAAGUGAUAACACCCAAGAUCCAAGACCCAAACCCGUUGCCAUGUCUGGGUCGUCAGAUUUAGCAUAACUGCACAACAUCCAACAACAUAUCUGUUCGACGCAUCAACGUCUGCUGCUUCCGCUGAACACCAUAUCCUCAUAUUUUCUCCCUUUGUAUGAACAGAAGCCAAACACACCUUCACUUCGUUUUCUUCUUCCCUACAAGCUCUGCAAAAACCAUCAGUUCUCUUCCUCCAUCAAUCACUUCCAUUUCCGACCAUAGCCAACCUAUCAGCCGCCCUAUGCAAUCAAUAAUCUCCUAGCCUCUUUCUAUCUACAUCAUAACUUCUACCCCACAAUAGUAACCCUAGAAGCUAGGGUUGAGAAACAUAAGGCUAUGUUUUUUUUACGGCUGUAGAACAUCACAUCAAGGACUUGCUGAGUUGAAAUUGCAGAAUGGGUUUGUAGGGAAAACGCGUUUUGAGUGAGUGGUUGCUUUCUAAUUAUCAAAUUCUAGUGUUUGAGAAGAAAAUGGGGUAUAAAAAGGGUUCUCUGUGAAUUGUGUAAUCAUCUAAGAUUAGCUGGAUCAUCAAGUUUUAAUAUAAUUCAUAUUUUCAUCUUGUUCA